UUAUAUUGUAUAGAGUGAAAUGAGUAAAUAGACAUUUUCAUUAACUAGGAAAUAUGUACAGACCUUAUUUCCACAACAGUCGUCAUCGUCCUCCUCAACCACAACAUUUCAAUACUGUUGCUGUGGUGGACCACAGCUGCUGUGUAUAAAAAGGGGUGAGGUAAGAUACAUGAGGGGUGAAGGAGAAGGGAUGUACCAUGUGGAAUCUUGUCUUGGCUCUGCCAGAAUUGUAAACUUACUUUAUUUUUUAUUUUGUCCACCUUCAUUCCACAUUGUCUCUUGGCAACCCCCUUACACCUUGGUGACUCUUAAACACCUUUGUGCAUCCCUUAUCCCCUUAUCCCCAUUUCCCCUUAACCCUAGCUUUUCUCAAAACUCCCAUUUAAAUAGCUCUUGAUGUUCAACUUCAUCACCAACACAACCCGACUCAAGCAUUUAAAUUAUUUUGUUGCCAAGUUUGUUAAGAGAUUGAUAAUUCAGGCAAGAGUUAAAAAGAGUUACGGCUUUAAUUGGAUCUCUUUACUGAUCACAUUGACCUUACCUCACGCAAAAUAAAGAGUUUCAUCUUGUGAGAAAUGCUCUAUUGUAGUCUUUAAAUUGAUAUGGCAUGGAGUAUUAAACCCCUUCUUACUCUUUCUUUCAAUCCUAUUUUUUUCUUUAAAGGUGGAUGACACAGUUAUAUGAUUAAAUGUUUAAAUUCCUUUUAAGAAUGUCCACAGCACCCUGGUUUAUUUUUC